AUGCUCAGUUCUCAUGGAGUGAAGCGUGAAGGACAGCCUGUGUGUGAGCAGCCUGCUUCCAAGGUUUUUGUGCAGACACAUUCUCAGCCUGAAUCCCAAACUAGAAUCAUUCAACACCAUCAGGAUCAGACGUUCUUCCAAAGCAGCAAUCUUUCUCUAGAGGGCCCAGUAGAACCUCAAAACCAAGAGCUCCAUUCUUCUCAGCUGCAGUCACAAUUGGAAACCACCAGUGGCAUACAACCCCAGUUUCUCCCCCAGGUUCAUGAAAAAUCUCCAAAAGCCCAGAGCAAAACUAUAUGCCAAGUACAGCAUGCAGAGCUCAAACAGACUUUGCUGUCAUCUGUUGUUAGCAGGAAGGUUCAGUUGAAACCCCAAACUGAUGUUCAACUGAUCUCUGUAGACUCAAGCCUAACCAGUCGCUUUGGACCUUCAGACCUUCAAGCUGCCUUAGUAAACUCAAGCCAAAAGAGUGGCUUUGGACCUUUACAGGUUAUCUCUGUAGACCCAAACCAAUCCAGUGACUUUGGACCAUCAGAGCAACAGGUUGUUUCUGCCACCUCAAGCCAAACCAGUGAUUUUAGACCAUUAGACUCUCUCCAGGUUAUAUCUGUGGACUCAGGUGAAACCAGGGGCUUUGGACCAUCAGACCUUCAGGUUAUCUCUGUAGACUCAAGCCAAAGCAGUGGCAUUGAACAUUCAAUCCCUCUACAGUCUUUCUCUUCAACGGCGUCUAGCCCAAGCAUGUUGCUUACAUCGGUUACCGUGACUCAACUAAGAAUGCCAGUCGAGCAGCAUCUUGAUUCACCACCACAAACCUUCUUGGUGACCCCACACCAAAGACAAAAGGUUCUGGCCAAAAGUCACAGUUUUCCAAAACCCCAUGAGCAAUCACAUACCUCAAUUGUAUCCUGCCCAAGCACUUUGCAUACACCGGUAACAGUGACUCAACAAAGAACGCCUGUCGAACAGAACCUUGGUUCACCACCGAAAAGGCAACCUCAGACCUCUGUGACAACCCAACAUCAAAGACAAAGGGUUCUAUCCAAAAGUCACAGCUUUCCACAGCCAUCAGAGGCUCCAGGUGUUCCUCAUGUCCCAGUACAGAAUGAGGUAUAUGCCAGAGCUCAGGCUUUGGCCAGGAGCAGACUGGAUAAAGCAAAACUGCACCUGCGUGAACACAUACAGGAUGUCAUCACAGUGAUCGGCACCAGAGACAGAUCUAAAAAACAAGCCAAGAAAAAACAGGUGAGGCCAUUUCAAAAUGUGGUGAGUUUUCAAUCCAAUAAUUAUUUAAUCAAAUAA
ensembl:lncRNA